UACGUAGGCAGCAAGCGUUGUUCGGAGUUACUGGGCGUAAAGGGUGCGUAGGCGGCUUUUUAAGUUUGGUGUGAAAUCUCCCGGCUCAACUGGGAGGGUGCGCCGAAUACUGAGAGGCUAGAGUGUGGGAGAGGAAAGUGGAAUUCCCUGUGGAGCGGUGAAAUGCGUAGAUAUAGGGAAGAACACCAAUCAGGCGAAGGCAGUUAACUAUUCUACUCCUGACAUUGAGGCAUGAAAGCGUGGGGAGCAAAACGG
rnacentral:rRNA from 1 species